rnacentral:rRNA from 1 species
AACGAACGCUGGCGGCAGGCCUAACACAUGCAAGUCGAGCGAAGCCUUCGGGCUUAGCGGCGGACGGGUGAGUAACGCGUGGGAACGUGCCCUUUGGUACGGAAUAGCCCCGGGAAACUGGGAGUAAUACCGUAUGUGCCCUUCGGGGGAAAGAUUUAUCGCCAAAGGAUCGGCCCGCGUUGGAUUAGGUAGUUGGUGGGGUAAUGGCCUACCAAGCCGACGACCCAUAGCUGGUUUGAGAGGAUGAUCAGCCACACUGGGACUGAGACACGGCCCAGACUCCUACGGGAGGCAGCAGUGGGGAAUCUUAGACAAUGGGGGAAACCCUGAUCUAGCCAUGCCGCGUGAUCGAUGAAGGCCUUAGGGUUGUAAAGAUCUUUCGGCGGGGACGAUAAUGACGGUACCCGCAGAAGAAGCCCCGGCUAACUUCGUGCCAGCAGCCGCGGUAAGAC